AUUGAACGCUGGCGGCAUGCUUUACACAUGCAAGUCGAACGGUAACAGGCCGCAAGGUGCUGACGAGUGGCGAACGGGUGAGUAAUGCAUCGGAACGUGCCCAGUCGUGGGGGAUAACGCAGCGAAAGCUGUGCUAAUACCGCAUACGAUCUAUGGAUGAAAGCGGGGGACCGUAAGGCCUCGCGCGAUUGGAGCGGCCGAUGUCAGAUUAGGUAGUUGGUGGGGUAAAGGCCUACCAAGCCAACGAUCUGUAGCUGGUCUGAGAGGACGACCAGCAACACAGGGACAGGAACACGGCCCAGCCUCGCACGGGACGCAGAGGUGGGGAAUUUUGGACAGUGGGCGCAAACCAGAUCCAGCAAGGCAGCGUGAAGGAAGACGGCCUUCGGGUUGUAAACUGCUUUUGUACGGAACGAAACGGUCUGGGUUAAUACCCUGGACUAAUGCCGGUACCGUAAGAAUAAGCACCGGCUAACUACGUGCCAGCAGCCGCCGUAAAAC
rnacentral:rRNA from 1 species